UAGCGGCUGAGGGCCCUACCUGCGGCAGCGGCGCCGUCUGGCGGGAGCGCGCUCCCCGCGCCUCGCACGGCGCCGGAGGGGCCUGGCGGUGGUACCUUUGCCAUUAGCGGCGGCUGCGCAUGGGACCCAGCCUCGCCUGGAGCUUCAAGAUGUCAUUGUGGGUCUCCAUAGCCGCUUACCGCAGCCUAACGCCUUGCAUGACUCUGACCUCUUCUCAAACAGCUGGGCCCCAAAAUGAUCACUGGUAAAAGGCCUUUGACAGAAAACGACCUGUAGCAAGACUUACCUGCACCACUGACAGUGACCACUUGGUGUCGCUCUUUCCCACCGCUAACACCAUGCCACGUUAAGGACCUUUCCUUCUGGACGCCUUUCUGCAGUCAGCUGAGUAUGAGCAGAGACCCAUGUAAUGAAACCAAAGUCUUCAUCUUUGCAAAGCUGCAACUUGGAAAGGGACCUGGGGGUAUUGGUUGUCAGUCGACUGAACGUGAGUCAACAGUGUGCCCCGGUGGUCAGGAAGGCUAAAGACAUCCUAGUUUGCAUUAGAAACACGGUGCCCAGCAGGAACAGCUGCUACAGAAACAAAUAGGAUCUUUAGAAUGUUAUCAGCUGCUUCCCAUGUCAGAGAAAUAAGAGAUCAAGGAUGAGCCUGAGUGAAGAGAGGAUGAGUCAAGCCUCACAGCUUGGAAAGAUGUGAAAAAGACCCAAAAGCAAAGAAUAAGAGGAUGUGAGCUGUGCUGUGCUUACAAUGAAAUCACUGGGAAUUUUGCCAUGAAAGCACAACUGAGUUGUUCUUCCAGCAUUUCAGUACCCAUCACCAUAUUAUCUAGGCGCCACCAUAAGAUUAAGAAGCUCUGCAGUGACAUUCUCAACAUGAUCUGUUCAAAGGUCAUUAGCAGAGCCUUUCAUGCUGGAAAAGACUGGAGGAGAGUACGGAAGUGAGCUGCAAAAGGAGAGAGAAAGGCAAAAGAUCUUGGAAAUGUACAUUCCCUUCAUGGGGGCAGUUUCUCCUGUGCAGGAGGGCCCCAAGCACAAGUGCCAGAUAUCUCAGAUCUUCCAUGUGGGACA